rnacentral:rRNA from 1 species
GACGAACGCUGGCGGCGUGCUUAACACAUGCAAGUCGAACGGAAAGGCCCUGCUUUUGUGGGGUGAUCGAGUGGCGAACGGGUGAGUAACACGUGAGUAACCUGCCCUUGACUUUGGGAUAACUUCAGGAAACUGGGGCUAAUACCGGAUAGGAGCUCCUGCUGCAUGGUGGGGGUUGGAAAGUUUCGGCGGUUGGGGAUGGACUCGCGGCUUAUCAGCUUGUUGGUGGGGUAGUGGCUUACCAAGGCUUUGACGGGUAGCCGGCCUGAGAGGGUGACCGGCCACAUUGGGACUGAGAUACGGCCCAGACUCCUACGGGAGGCAGCAGUGGGGAAUAUUGCACAAUGGGCGGAAGCCUGAUGCAGCAACGCCGCGUGCGGGAUGACGGCCUUUGGGUUGUAAACCGCUUUCGCCUGUGACGAAGCGUGAGUGACGGUAAUGGGUAAAGAAGCACCGGCUAACUACGUG